UACGAGGGGGGGCAAGCGUUGUUCGGAAUUAUUGGGCGUAAAGAGCGUGUAGGCGGUCCGGUAAGUCAGCUGUGAAAGCCAAGGGCUCAACCCUUGAAAGCCGGUUGAUACUGUCGGGCUAGAGUCCGGAAGAGGCGAGUGGAAUUCCCGGUGUAGCGGUGAAAUGCGCAGAUAUCGGGAGGAACACCAAUGGCGAAGGCAGCUCGCUGGGACGGUACUGACGCUGAGACGCGAAAAGCGUGGGGAGCGAACAGG
rnacentral:rRNA from 1 species